AUGUGGCUGAAGGCAAACAGUAAUUGCCCGGUUUAAUGGAAGAUGGUUAAGCCUGUGUUGGACAUCUGCUGUCUUUGCCGCCCUAGUCUGCAUUUCCCAGUAUUCUGCCAGCAGAAAGGUAUUCGGUGCUCACACAUCAAUCCCUGGCUUCCCAGCGUCCCUCAGCAAACAUCCCCUUCUCCUGAUGCAAAAUAACCUCUCUCCUAUUGUUAUUAUCCCACAUGGUUCUAUUACUCAAUGCAGAGUGGCAUUGAGCAAAUUCACUCCAAGGUAUGAGAGUACUUGCAGGUGAAACAUUUUUUGUUAUAUCCAGCGCUGAAGCUCAUGAUGUGAGGCAAAUCCUCUCCGACUGCAAUUCCUCCCUAACUACAUUCCCCUGGACGCUUUCCUUUACCUGGCACACCACUGAAAAAAAGAAGAGGAACCCAUGUUUCAAACCAA
rnacentral:lncRNA from 1 species